AGGUGCGAUCAUACCAGCACUAAUGCACCGGAUCCCAUCAGAACUCCGCAGUUAAGUGUGCUUUGGCGAGAGUAGUACUAGGAUGGCUGACCUCUUGGGAAGUCCUCGUUUUGCACCUC
rfam:Vigna angularis cultivar Jingnong 6 scaffold866_12, whole genome shotgun sequence.